ensembl:lncRNA
UUUCUGUCACGGAUUUAGGAUUGUCUGACCAUUUUGCUAUUCUUUUUAGUAUGGAACUGUCGCAUACUAACAUUUCCCCUUUCCGUACUGUAAAUUAUCGCAAUUGGAAAUCCAUUGAUCUCAAUGACUUCUCUGCUUUUAUUGAAUCUUCCUUAAGUGGCCUUACUUUAUCAGACCCUCUGGAGGUCAACAUCUCUCUGUUAAAUACUGUUCUUUUGUCUGGUUUGGACUUAUUUGCACCGAUGAAAUCCCGGUCUGUGGCCUUUGUACGAUCUGCUCCCUGGUAUAAUGGUGAGCUGCGCUCUAGGAAGGCAGCGGGUCGUAAGCUGGAGCGUAAGUGGCGUACCUCUGGCCUGAAUGUUCAUUAUCAAGCUUGGAAAGACCACUUACUUGAAUAUAAGGCAGAGAUUGUAUCUGUCAGAUCUCAGUAUUUCUCUCAGAUAAUUGAUAAUAAUCAAAAUAACCCCAAAAAAUUGUUUCAUACCAUUAACAAACUGUUCAAAGGUAACAGCUCCUCCAAUGUACCUGCCUCAGAUCAGCUUUGUAAUGGAUUUCUUGAUCAUUUUAGUUCCAAAAUUGCUAAUGCACGCAAAUCCAUUACAUCUGUUGCGUCUGCUUCUGCUCCUAGUAUCCCUAAAUUUUCCGGCACUUUUUUCUCAAAUUUUAGCUUACUUGAUCCUGUCUCUCUGGGUAAUGUGGUUUCACAAAUGAAAGUUGCCACUUCCAUAGUUGAUCCAAUACCCACCUGCCUGUUUAAAUCAUGUUUUGCAUCACUAUGCCCAGUCGUCUUGAGUAUAAUAAAUGACUCACUGAACACGGGUGUUGUACCUGCUGCACUCAAAAUUGCUGCUGUAACACCUGUACCAAAAAAGCCCAACGUAGACUGGGUAAACAUCAAUAAUUUUCGUCCCAUCUCCAAUUUGCCUUUUUUGGCUAAAGUACUUGAGCGAAUUGUGGCCUCUCAGUUAAAUACUCAUCUUACUUUGCACAAUCUUUUUGAGCCCCUCCAAUCUGGCUUCCGCAAACUGCACAGUACUGAAACAGCAUUGGUUAAAGUCACCAAUGAUUUGUGAGCUGCGCUCUAGGAAGGCAGCGGGUCGUAAGCUGGAGCAUAAGUGGCGUACCUCUGGCCUGAAUGUUCAUUAUCAAGCUUGGAAAGACCACUUACUUGAAUAUAAGGCAGAGAUUGUAUCUGUCAGAUCUCAGUAUUUCUCUCAGAUAAUUGAUAAUAAUCAAAAUAACCCCAAAAAAUUGUUUCAUACCAUUAACAAACUGUUCAAAGGUAACAGCUCCUCCAAUGUACCUGCCUCAGAUCAGCUUUGUAAUGGAUUUCUUGAUCAUUUUAGUUCCAAAAUUGCUAAUGCACGCAAAUCCAUUACAUCUGUUGCGUCUGCUUCUGCUCCUA